rnacentral:rRNA from 1 species
AGUGGCGUACGGGAGAGUAACACGUAAGUAAUCUACCCUUGGGUGGGGAAUAACUUAGGGAAACCUAAGCUAAUACCGCGUACGCUCUACGGAGGAAAGCGGGGGAUCUUCGGACCUCGUGCUACUAGAUGGGCCUAUAUCAGAUUAGCUAGUUGGUAAGGUAAUGGCUUACCAAGGCGACGAUCUGUAGCUGGUUUGAGAGAAUGAUCAGCCACACUGGGACUGAGACACGGCCCAG